GGAAUUUUGCGCAAUGGGCGAAAGCCUGACGCAGCGACGCCGCGUGCGGGAUGAAGGCCUUCGGGUCGUAAACCGCUGUGGAGAGGGAAGAAGAUCUGACGGUACCUCUCUAGAAAGUGCCUGCUAACCACGUGCCAGAAGCCUCGGUGAUACGUGGGGCACAAGCGUUAUCCGGAUUUACUGGGCGUAAAGAGUCUCGUAGGCGGUUUGGUAAGUGAUUGGUGAAAUCCCCUGGCUCAACCAGGGAACUGCCAGUCAUACUAUCAGACUAGAGUUAUUUCGGGGAAGUUGGAAUUCUCGGUGUAGGGGUGAAAUCCGUUGAUAUCGAGAAGAACACCAAGGGCGAAGGCAGACUUCCAGGAAUUUACUGACGCUGAUGAACGAAAGCUAGGGGAGCGAACGGGAUUAGAGACCCCGGUAGUCCUAGCCGUAAACAAUGUCCACUAGUUACUUCCCGUUCAGGGAGGCGACGUAAGCUAACGCGUUAAGUGGACCGCCUGGGGAGUACGGCCGCAAGGCUAAAACUCAAAGGAAUUGGCGGGGAAAUGCACAACCAGGGGAGCAUGUGGUUUAAUUCGAUACGAAGCGUUGAACCUUACCUGGGCUUGACAUCUAUUUGACGACUUUAAGAAAUUAAGGUUUUCCGCAAGGACAAAUAGACAGCUGCUGCAUGGCUGUCGUAAGCUCGUACCGUGAGGCGUCGACUUCAGUGUCGUAACGAGCGCAACCCCUUUUUCGUGUUAAAUAGUCACGAAAGACUGCCUGGCCACAAGUCGGGAGGAAGGAGGGGAUGACGUCAAGUCAGCACGGCGCUUACGCCCAGGGCAACACACAUCCUACAAUGGUGAGGGGCAAUGGGUUGCGAAACCGCAAGGUGGAGCCAAUCCCAAAAACCCUCCCUCAGUUCAGAUUGCGGGCUGAAACUCGCCCGCAUGAAGUUGGACUUGGUAGUAAUCGCGGAUCAUCAGACCGCGGUGAAUACGUUCUCAUUUCUUGCACACACCGCCCGUCACAUGAGGAGAGUCGGCAGCGCCCGAAGUACCCUUUUUGGGUCCUAAGGCGAGGUCGGUAAUCAGCGUGAAGUCGUAACAAGGUAUCCGUUCUGGAAGGAGCGGAUGGAUCACCUCCUUUCUA
rnacentral:rRNA from 1 species